rnacentral:misc_RNA from 1 species
UUUUAAGAGAAACUGACAAUGCUAUAAUGUAAUUAUUCCAAUAAAAAGUGAGUCCAGGAAAAGAUAUACAGGCUUGAUAAUGGAAGCCAGGAGCAUAGAUAUAUAGAUAUUUAUAUUCUUAUGUUUGCCAACUACAUUGACAAAGAUCAAAUAUGCUGGCCAAACGCUUAUUUAAACGUUUCUCUUUUUUUUUUUUCUUUUCUUUUUCCAUACAACUACGUUGUUUUGUGUUUUUAAAUUGAAGAUAUAGAGAAAGAAUCAGUAUCUGUGAUCCUGAUAUUGUUUGCUUCUGUUAACAAGUCAAAUGAAGUUAAAGAAAAUGGCAAGAGUACAACAUCCAUGUCCUUGCCAGCGUUGUCAAGCAGACUUUGCAUAGGCCCCACCUUAUUUGGCUCCUUGAAGGUAUUCUCAUCCAUUAGAUUAGCAGAAGUGAGUAGAGUCUUUGUUGAUCCAGACUGCUGUAUGGAAUUGUCCUCCAAUCCCUCAAUAGAAAUUUUGAGACUUACUGUAUUGCUCCCAAAGUUCACAAUCUUUAUUUUUAGGUAACUUUUACUAUCCACUGAGUCCUGCCAUAUAAUUGCAGAUGCAACAAGUAAAGUAGAGGAGUUUAUUUGAAGGGUAGAAUUAAGAAGAGUUGCUCCACUUGAAUCCAUAAAGAAACGUUGCACCCAAUAGCUAGGAGUUCCAUAUUGAUGUGAGGAGUUGAAGACAAUUGCAUCUGGGUUCCACCUUCAGCACCAAUUUUUCAAUUAGUGCAAACAUGAAUAAAGUGAUAUAUCCUGUUACACAAUUGAAUUUUAAGAAAAAGAAAACAUGUACCUCCUGUCAUUGACAUGUACAAAAAGUGGUGCAUAGCUUGCCAUCUCAACAACAUCACUGUUUUUUUCAAGCCCAAUGAGGAAUGCAGCUUCAGCAAGUGCAGCUAAAAGACUUCCUGUGCCAGCAUCUUUUCCAGUCACAGCAUACUCACUCACAAAAGCCUUGGGACCGUUGCGUGAGGUUCGAUCAAAUUUGUGCACCAUAGAAAACAAGUUGUUGGCAGAUGUAUAAACAUGAAAAUCAUAGUAAUCAGCAGGGUGAUCUAAAGAGCGGGAAGAACCAUCACAGUUUGAGAUUAUUUUGAUGUCAGGAUAGGCAUGUUUUAUAGCAUCAUAAAACUUGAGAUAAUUUCCUUGAUAAUUCUUCUUUCCGCAAUCCUCAUUUCCAACAGCAACAUAUCUCAAGUCAAAAGGCUCUGGGUGUCCCAUUGCAGCUCGAAUUGAGCCCCAUUUAGAACCACAAUCACCUUGAGCAAACUCAAUUCCAUCAAGAGCUUCUUGCACGAAAGGUGAAAUGGUGGAGGUAUCAACUUGAUCCUGAUGGCUGAUUCCAUUGUUGAAUACCCAUACUGGCAAUGCACCAAGAUCUUCUGCUAGUUGAAGAAACUCGAAAUAACCAAGUCCAUCAUCAGUCCAAUACAUCCAAACAUCACCAAAGUGCCCAGGUCUCUCCUCCCAUGGUCCAAUUGUUUCCUUCCAUCGAAAUGCAUUUCUUAACCAUUCACCUUCAACAAAACAGCCACCUGGAAAUCUGAUAAACCGAGGUUUUAUGUCUGCAAGCAUUUCAACAAGCUCAUUUCGGAAACCAUGCCCCUUGUAUGUGUCUAAGGGCAUAGCUGAAACUUGAUCAAACCAUAUUACACCUCUCUGGGAUGUUGUCAAUUGAAGUCUGGAAUUAUGAUUUGUUCCUUGGGCUUCCAAUAAAACCUCUGCCUUUGUCCAGUUGAGAACAUCAGAAGCGGAAGCUAUAAUGUUGGCAGUAGCCAAUGUCUGCAAUCCAUUUGAGUCUGUCAAUGAUACAGAUAUAUUGAUCGAUCCCAAUGAACGAACAUACAGAACCACUUUAUAGGUCUUCCCUUGUUCAAUAUUCAUGCCCCAGAAUCCAGGAUUGUAUAUACCAACUCCACCAGCUCGGCAAAUAUUAUUGCCUUUACUGUUACAAAGCACCUCCAUUUUCAGUGCAACCUUAUUACGCUCAAAGCAAGAAGAACGGUCAGUAGAUACAGUUAAAGAUGACCCAUCACCAAUGAUAGACCAAGGAUCAAUAUUUGACGGUGUGUUAGGCCCCCCAGCUUCAAAACCCCGGUUAUUCACAAGCUCUCCCCAUAUCCCACCAGCUCCAGCAUGGUUUAUCUCCUCGAAGAAUAUUCCAAACAGCGUUUCUGGUAUCACCCGACCCGCAGAAGCAUUAACGAACAAUCGUGCAGUCAGGUUCGCAUCAAGUUCAACAGCAGAGCAUCGAUAUGUAAAACAAAGGCCGACGAAGAAAAAGCUCAGAAGAAGAGUGCAAGAAAGCUUCCACGAACCCAUAUGUUCACUCACCGCUUACAACACCACCACAAUCUUAAAGGCAAAGCACAGGUCUUGAAGGCAGCUAGCAAGUGAAGAGAGCGGUGGUGGAAUUGAGUGAUCAGUGCGUGGAUGGGGGUAUAAGAAGGCGUAGGAGUUAGGACUACGGACGGCGCGUAUAGUACGCUGUCUUUUUGUAGGCUUUGCUUUCACGUCAACAAAAUGUCAAUAUCCAACAGGCAGUGGAUUACAAGAAAACACAAACUUCACUUUUUUUCUGUUUAAAGAAUUUCCUUCUUUU